rnacentral:lncRNA from 1 species
UAUAUAUAUAUAUUAUAUGAAAGUGAGGGAAUGAGUUUUCCACAUCUCCCCCUCAGUCGCACGAUUCCAGCAAAAACAGAAAAACAAAUCAAAACUGUGAAAAAUACUUUCGAACUUGUGUAUAUAGAGAUAAACACUGUAUGUCUGCGUCUGCUUAUUGUUUUGACACUGAAUGCAGAGAUUUAAAUGUUUUUGUUUUAUUUUUAUUAAUUGUCUUUUCAUCCAUUCUUGUACUUUGUAAUGUUCCUAUGAAAAGGCCCCAGGCUGCGUUUGUGUUGGAGCACUGACGUAUCACUCAGUGUCAUUGUUUGCACUAUUUAUUUACAGGGUAUUUUCCAACAACUGUCAAGGUGAUUUAGUUUAAUAAAGUCUAUAAAAUGAGAACAAAACAAAAAAAAGUUGUAUUUGCUGAGAAACAAUGAUACAGAAUUUACACAAAGUCUAUAAUAACUCUACAUCUCGAAUCGCAUUAGAAAAACAUUCUUCUUUUCUCUAUAUUUGCUUCCAUUAAUUGUCUUCGACCCCCCCCAAAAAAAAGUCCCCCUUGCAUAAUGUGACAAGAGGAAUCUUUCACAACACAUGGGGUGGUUCCCAGUGACCUUUUCACCUCCAAAUACCUCCAGGGGCUCUAAACAUGACAACAAACUGCGGGGAGCCAGGUCUCACCCUGGAUUUUGUUACCCAAAUUCUGCUCGGAUACAGUUGACACGCGUCGCCGCAGAAAUCCAUCUGUACUUUACACGAUUUUUAUCUGAAAAAAAAAAAAUAAGACAGCCACAUUAUUUCCCUUCCUAUUUAAAAACAAGAGGAGAUGAGUUGAUUCAACCUCUUAGUGCUCAUCCGAGCUUCACCUUUAGCCAAACGUUUGCUGGACCCUGGCCCCCGAUGCUGACGGGGCAGCAGCAGUUUCAAUAUUUGCCCUGGGUGUUAAGUUUGCACACACACACACGAGUUUCUGCCCCAGCAGCACCGGCCUGUUGGGUGUCCUUUUUCCUAAAGCUGAGGUUCAUGCAGAGUUCAGGCACACAAAAUGAAUGCAGAGUCAAUCUGUCAAGACACCAGAGCGGCUGGAAGAAGAGGUCUUUUCGCAGAUGAGCCACAAGGCCAAGGACGAGGACGAGGUGGGGUUGGGGCGGCAACAAUCGCUAUGGUGAAUCGUGACAGAUUCAACAACAACAAAGAAAAGGGGACGUGCAGAAAACAAGUGUGGGACUUCAUUCCAGAGGUGUGAUCCCUGCCAUCUCUGUGGGCAAUACCUCAGCGCUCCCAGCGGGCUCUCCAUCUGGAGGUGUCAGAGUCGGUGCUGCAGCCAACGCCGCGGAGACAGAUGUUCAGCUUGAGGAGGAGGAGGGGCGUGUCUUUCACCUUCGCAUCAGCGCAGCCCCCUUCUCUCCUGUCGGCUGCAGAAUGUAGGGCAAGGAGAGGAGGAGAGGGACGGAAAUAAACGGUUAAUGAACAAAAAAAGGACGAGGAGGAAAAUCUUGGCACAAACAUGAGGACUAUUAAUAGAUACAGCAGCCCACCUCUUCUCUACCUCACAUAUCUAACACAUCUUUACCCCCGCCCCCCCUGCACUUUGUUUGAGGUCAACCCGGUGCUGUUUGUACCCCAUGCUGGUUGCAGUUGUUGCAGGCUCUUUUACAAGUCUAUUGCCGAGGCUCACUUCCUUUGGUUUUCGACCAGUUCCUCUGUCGCAUGUCACUCCGCAGGGUCCCGGUGCUUCAAAGGAGAACUAGAUACAGUAUUCAUGGGAUGACCGGGGGGUCGGACAUCUAAAGAGAUGCCACGGAGCCAUUUUUUAAAAAAAAAAACGGCAGAUAUCAAAACGUAUCUCACAGUAUUUAGAUUUAACGCCAUCUGCCCAUCGUAUGUACAGUAUACAAACUACAGUGUGAUCGCGAGGAUCACAGGUAAACGGAGCAUCUGCUGAUGUGUCAGAGAGACAUUGACAACAUGCUGUUUUAUUUUUUAAAAUACAAUCAGACUUUGUCAAAGACGAAACAAUAAAGUCGGAUUUCCAUCAUUGUUUUUUCAGUUUUCAGGAUCAUUUUUUUGCAAAAUCAAAACUGGGAACUUGAAUCCGACAGAAAGAGGACGGGUUCGUUAGAGCUGCAACGAUUAGUCGACGAAUUGAUUAGUCAGGUGACAGGAAAUUAAUCAGCAGCAAUUUUUGAUGAUUGAAGUCAUUUUCAUGCAAAAAUGCCAAACGUUUGCUGGUUUCAGCUUCCUAAAUGCGAAGAUUUGUUUCUUUUCUUUGUCGUAUUUCUGAAUAUCCUUGCGAUUUGGACUGUUAGUUGAACACAACAAGAUAUUUGAGGACGUUAUCUUUGGAUGUGGGAAAUUAUUAAAGGGCCUUUCCACUAUAAGAGGAGAUCCCCCCCCCCUCCUUUUUCAAUUUAUUGGUCUAAUGUUAGGGGGUGAAAAAAGAAAUAAAGAUCUUCAGAUGAAUCGAUGAUGAGAAUAAUCACAACUUCCAGCCAAACAAUUUACAUAUAAAGACUAGAAAGAAACAAACAAAGUAGAACGUGUUCUAGAUGCCAAAACCCCCAUGAAUGUAUGUUAUUAUUCAAGGUGCUCAACAUCAUCUGGUUUAAUGGUAAAACACACGUCUAUUAUUAAUCAUUUUACCGAAAACUAUUACUUUUUAAGCACUUCUUACAUAUCACAAUUGCAGAUUAGCAGCCUCUGACCUGAGAAACUACGGUGGCCUUCGGGUAAAUCACAAAAGACGCUCUUUGCAGCCGGUGUUCUGAUUUACUGUAGAAACCUGCCAGGAAACAGAAAAUGAUUUUACACAACUGAAAACGUCAUUAUGAAUAUUAUAUUCCAUUUGUGCCAAUCUAUCCCGUUAAAUCCUAAACACUGGGCCUGUAACGAGGUGACAAUGCGUCUGAGAUUAAACGAAAUGUGAAUGUUAACCUCAUGUUUUAUACUAAUCCAGACCAUACUCCAAAGUUUAUCUGAAGUUAAAAUGGAGCUUCAGCAGUCGGAGGUGUAAGUGGCUGUUGUCCAAAGGUAAAAUCUUUUCUGGCUCAAAAGCUGUGGUGAAAAAUAGGUUUUUGCACACAACAAGAAAUGUAGAUUUUCUCCGACUUCUCCUUAUUAUUUGUCGUUUGAAGUUCAUUAUGAAAAGAUCAGGACGAAUCAUUACACACAAUGGUUGGUCACCUUACUAUUGCUUCUAAGACAGACUUGAAUAAUUGCAAAUUAAUUCUUUUCAUUUAAUUUCCACGAUUCGUCUAUCGUUAUUGUGCCGAGCUUUUAUAAGAAAAAAACGCUGCCGUGUUGUGAAACACUCUCUUCCUCCUUUGUUACGCCACUGAGGCUCUUUUACGCUC